rnacentral:rRNA from 1 species
UACGUAGGUGGCAAGCGUUGUCCGGAUUUACUGGGCGUAAAGAGCGCGUAGGCGGUUUCUUAAGUCUGCUGUGAAAGCCCCGGGCUCAACCUGGGAAUGGCGGUGGAUACUGAGAAGCUGGAGUACGGUAGAGGAAGGUGGAAUUCCCGGUGUAGCGGUGAAAUGCGUAGAGAUCGGGAGGAACAUCAGUGGCGAAGGCGGCCUUCUGGACAGUGACUGACGCUGAGACGCGAAAGCGUGGGGAGCAAACAGG